rnacentral:piRNA from 1 species
AGAGAAAGCCGCAGAGGCAUGGUCCUU